GUGCUCACUUCUGCAGCACAUAGACUAAAAUUAGAACGAUACAGAGAAUAUUAGCACAGCCCCUGCACAAAAAUGACAAACAAAUUCGUGAAUGGUUCCAUAUUUAA